GUGCUCACUUUGGUAAUACAUAUACUGCAAAUGGAACGAUACAGAGAGGAUUGGCAUGGCCCCCGUGCAAGGAGGACAUGCAAACUUGCAACACACUCCAUAGUUUU
ensembl:snRNA U6 U6 spliceosomal RNA